GUGAUUGAGGGCGGAGGGAGCGCAGCGGCUGUCCUUCACCCUGCUGCUCGGAUGCGCUGCGAAGUGACCAGAUGUGCCUGAAUCGUGUCGGGUUCCUGGGGCCACUGGGAUGAGAGCAACGCUGUGCACACCGGAGCAGAGGAGACGUGGGGGAAAUCCGUAAAGGGCCUGAAGAGAGUGAAAGCAGAAGAGUGAGAGCUGCCGAGGUCUACCAUUGAGGGGGAAAAAAAUGAAGAAAAA